CAGGACUUGACAUCCCUAUGACAGUACCUUAACCGGUAUUUCCCUUCGGGGACAGAGGAGACAGGUGGUGCAUGGUUGUCGUCAGCUCGUGUCGUGAGAUGUUGGGUUAAGUCCCGCAACGAGCGCAACCCUUGUCUUUAGUUGCCAUCAGGUAAAGCUGGGCACUCUAGAGAGACUGCCGGUGAUAAACCGGAGGAAGGUGGGGAUGACGUCAAGUCAUCAUGCCCCUUAUGUCCAGGGCUACACACGUGCUACAUUGGCCGGUACAAAGGGCUGCAAACCCGCGAGGGGGAGCGAAUCCCAAAAAGCCGGUCCCGGUUCGGAUUGGAGGCUGAAACUCGCCUCCAUGAAGUCGGAGUUGCUAGUAAUCGCGGAUCAGCAACGCCGCGGUGAAUAUGUUCCCGGGCCUUGUACACACCGCCCGUCACACCACGAAAGUCGGCAACACCCGAAGCCGGUGGCCUAACCCCUUGUGGGAGGGAACCGUCGAAGGUGGGGUUGAUGAUUGGGGUG
rnacentral:rRNA from 1 species